rnacentral:rRNA from 1 species
GACGAACGCUGGCGGCGUGCUUAACACAUGCAAGUCGAACGGCAAGGCCCUGCUUUUGUGGGGUGCUCGAGUGGCGAACGGGUGCGUAACACGUGAGUAACCUGCCCUUGACUUUGGGAUAACUUCAGGAAACUGGGGCUAAUCCCGGAUAGGAGCUCCUGCUGCAUGGUGGGGGUUGGAAAGUUUCGGCGGUUGGGGAUGGACUCGCGGCUUAUCAGCUUGUUGGUGGGGUAGUGGCUUACCAAGGCUUUGACGGGUAGCCGGCCUGAGAGGGUGACCGGCCACAUUGGGACUGAGAGACGGCCCAGACUCCUACGGGAGGCAGCAGUGGGGAAUAUUGCACAAUGGGCGGAAGCCUGAUGCAGCAACGCCGCGUGCGGGAUGACGGCCUUCGGGUUGUAAACCGCUUUCGCCUGUGACGAAGCGUGAGUGACGGUAAUGGGUAAAGAAGCACCGGCUAACUACGUG